GGGCCCUUAGCUCAGUCGGUAGAGCAUCUCCCUUUUAAGGAGGGUGUCGGUGGUUCGAGUCCACCAGGGCUCACCA
rnacentral:tRNA from 1 species